GGUGGGGUUCGUGUUGCUUAGUUUUUAGUGUUCUAUGAUGUGUUUUAGUGUACUAUUGUUUGUCUAUCAGUUUUUGUCUUUUUUAGCCAUGACGUUGGCAGUUUAGUUUCAACUUAUGGUAUCUUUAGCCUCUCUUUUGGCCAAUCGAUUUAAAAUAUUUUCUUUUUGGUUUUCAGCAAAACCGUAGAUUAUGAAUAUCUUUUAUUUCCCAUUUUUAUGUAGUUUUGUCCAACUUACCAUUUUCCAUUUUUUUAAAUCAUAUAAUACACAUAAGUAUUCCAUUGGUCAUAUAUAAGUUUUAUUUUAUUUUAAAAGAGGAGAAACGUACGAUUUUGCCUAUAUACAUGAUGUGACUUAAGUCGAUAAAUACAUACUUUUGUGGGGAGUUCAAGAUUUAUUGUCAGGGAGGUGCAUUAUUUGCCAUUUCAUUUCUAGUUCCAUUUUUUCUUCAAACACACAGUUUGCAUAACAUAAAAAAAAAAUGAUUAUGUAAUUUUACCGAAUUUGCUGUGAAAUCGUAGAUGUAUUACACCCCAUGAAAAGGAAAUCAUUGAAAAGUAUGUUGCAAUGUUUUAUUCAUUUACAAUUAUACAUAUAAUUACAGAACAAAUAUGAUCUUUUAAUGUGUCGUUCUAUUUCUUAAAGAAAACCCAUGACAGGGUUAUUGUUAAUCAGAUCUAUUAAGUUAAGAUUUUAAGAAGGGGUCAUUCAACGUUUUGUUAUGUUAUACUUAUCAAUGGAACUUGAACGACACAGUUAUCGGUUACUACAAUCAUACGAUAUUCUAACUUUAGAUAGAGUCAUGCCAUUCUUACUAAUUUUAGUCACGAGAAUUUUUUUUAGUACGUGAAAUUCGUUGUACAUUGUUGGGAUUCG
rnacentral:lncRNA from 1 species